UACGUAGGGAGCGAGCGUUGUCCGGAUUUAUUGGGCGUAAAGAGCUCGUAGGCGGUUUGGCAAGUCGGAUGUGAAAGCUCCGGCUCAACCCGGAGACGCCAUUCGAUACUGCCAUGACUAGAGUCCGGUAGGGGGGGUGUGGAAUUCCCAGUGUAGCGGUGAAAUGCGCAGAUAUUGGGAGGAACACCAAUGGCGAAGGCAGCUCGCUGGGACGUGACUGACGCUGAGACGCGAAAGCGUGGGGAGCAAACAGGG
rnacentral:rRNA from 1 species